ensembl:lncRNA
AGAGAGAUAAGUCGGUACUUAGUGGCCAGGAAGCAGUCUUUUGUGUGGGCUUAUCUCAAGGGAGAUAGCCAUCUCAGGGGGUGCUGCGCAUGACUGUUACCCAAGCACCCAGGAAUGCCAUGUUGGCAGAAGGAGAAGGGUAAAAAAGGGACAACUAUGAGGUGAGGUUUCUGACAACAGAUUCCUCAUGACCUAAGACCUGCAUGCUGAAGAAGAACAGAAAGGUUUCUGACAUGAUGCCUCACAACCUGUCUCUCCCCCCUGGACUUGCUCUGCGCUCUACCUGCUUGCUGCCUAAGGCCGGCCACUCUGCUGCUGCUCUUCACCUGAGAAGGUAUCUGCCAUCAGAUCCCUCACUACGGAAGGUCUGCAUGCUGACAGACUCUCCAGGGCCUGCUACUGAAGACCUGCUGCUUCUUCCCGGACUUUUUCCUGGUCCUACUCGGUACCUGCACCUUCUUGCUGCCCAAGACCGACCACGCUGCUGCUGCUCUCCCCCUGUGCUUUUGCCCCGGACAGUAGGAACGUUGUACAAGAGGACUGCUGCUGGAUCCUGGUGGAGAGAGCAUCCAGAAUAAGCUGUUCCAUCACCUUCUGGGGACAGAUGUGAGGGUGACUGCAGUUUCCUGCAUCCUCUUUCUUGCACUUUUUGAAGACUGGAGUGACACUGGCUUUUCUCUAGUCCUCAGGAGUUCUUUUAUCUUAUUAAUAAGACCUACAGCUUCAUCAGGCCUUAUGACAAGAAGGGAACACCACCAGAAAAUGAGCAAAACACAUAAAGAAGAAGAAGAAAAAAAAACACUGAUAAAAAUGUUGGCACUUCUGAAGAAAACGGAUCAUUCACUGGGAAAUUUUUCAGAAAUCUGUGAAAAUAAGACAUACCCAUUAAAACAAUAAGCUAAGAAUCCUUAUUUGAAGAAGAAAAAUUCACAGUCAAUUUCUAAGGAUUCGUAU